AGUGAACGCUGGCGGUAGGCCUAACACAUGCAAGUCGAACGGCAGCACAGUAAGAGCUUGCUCUUACGGGUGGCGAGUGGCGGACGGGUGAGGCAUACAUCGGAAUCUACUUUUUCGUGGGGGAUAACGUAGGGAAACUUACGCUAAUACCGCAUACGACCUACGGGUGAAAGCAGGGGAUCUUCGGACCUUGCGCGAUUGAAAGAGCCGAUGUCGGAUUAGCUAGUUGGCGGGGUAAAGGCCCACCAAGGCGACGAUACGUAGCUGGUCUGAGAGGAUGAUCAGCCACACUGGAACUGAGACACGGUCCAGACUCCUACGGGAGGCAGCAGUAGGGAAUAUUGGGCAAUGGGCGCAAGCCUGAUCCAGCCAUACCGCGUGGGUGAAGAAGGCCUUCGGGUUGUAAAGCCCUUUUGUUAGGAAAGAAAAUCAGCAGGUUAAUACCCCGCUGUUCUGACGGUACCCAAACAGUAAGCACCGGCUAACUUCGUG
rnacentral:rRNA from 1 species